rnacentral:rRNA from 1 species
AGGGCCUACGGGGGGCAGCAGUGGGGGAUAUUGGACAAUGGGGGGAACCCUGAUCCAGCGACGCCGCGUGAGUGCAGAAGUAUUUCGGUAUGUAAAGCUCUGUCAGCAGGGAAGAAAGCAAUGACGGUACCUGACCAAGAAGCCCCGGCUAACUACGUGCCAGCAGCCGCGGUAAUAAGUAGGGGGCAAGCGUUAUCCGGAAUUACUGGGUGUAAAGGGAGAGUAGACGGCUGUGCAAGUCUGGAGUGAAAGGCGGGGGGCCA